rnacentral:lncRNA from 1 species
AUAACCAGAAAAGAGAAAAUUCACAAAAAGUAUCAAAUGGCAAAAUAAAAAAUAUUAAAAAUCAUUUUCAUAAACUAGAAUUAAAAAGGAAAAUAGUGCAAUUGGUCCCAUAUUUUUUGGAUUGAAAAUGAAAGAGUUAUGAUUUUUGAAAUAAAAGAAAAUAAAAAGAAAUUCGGAAAAUGGAAAAUAAUCUGGCACGUUG